ensembl:lncRNA
GGCUGCCCCCACAGCACAUGGAGGUUCCCAGGCUAGGGGUCAAAUCUGAGCUACAACUGCAGGCCUGUGCCACAGCUGUAGCAACGUAUGAUCUGAGCCAUUUCUGAGGCCUACUCCACAGCUCACGGCGAUGCCAGACCUUUAAUCCACUGAGCGAGGCCAGGGAUCAAACCCGCAAUCUCAUAGUUUCUAGUCAGAUUCGUUUCUGCUCUCUUACUUGGGAGGUAGAUUGAUGUAUUUGAAGAACAAAAAGAGAUUUCAAAGCCUGGAGGAUGAAGAGGAAGAGAGGGGUUUGGCAUGAAAUUACAUUAGAGAGAUCGUGGCCCUGAAUGUGUGAUCUAGCACACAGUAAUAAAUUUAAGUUUGUAAGUUAUAUAAUUAUAUUUUUAAACUAGAAUAUAUGUAUAUAUAUAGCUUUACCUUUGGAAGAGUAGACUCUUAAAAUAAUCCAGUCAUAAAAAAUGAUGAUAUCUUUACCUUGAUGACUUUGACUAGAUUGAUAACAGUGGAAGCUUGUAGAAGACAAUGAAAAAUAUAUUCGGUCAAAGAACUAAUGAGAAUAUGUGAACUGGGUGUUAGGAUGGUGUGCCUGAGAAAUAUCAAGAAUUAUUAUUUCCAGGUUUUUGACAUUAAAAAUGGAUGAUAAGGACACAGUGGAAGAGAGACUGUUUUCUUAAAAUUUGGGGGGGGCAGGAGGCCCCUUUAAGAAUCAGAUUAAAAUUCUCAGACAAAUGCUUAUAUCUGAACAUAUUUACAAGACAUAUUAAAGAGCUUUUGUCCUUGAAAACUGCAAUGAACCCAAUUAUAGCAGGUUUGCUAUUAGUGAAUAAUUCUGCUUUUGACAAGGUCUGGGCUGUGUCCAUAGCUGCUCAGCUAUGGAUUUUAUUUCCUAAUUACCCUUGUAGGGAGGGGCAGCUGUGCCACUAGGUACUGAUCAACUGUAUUUGAGUGAAAAUGAUGUGCACACCCACUGCUUAAAAAUCAUCAGAUGAAGUUACUUGUGCCACACAUUUUCCCUUCUUAUUCCUAUUUGAAGUACAAAGAUAGCAGUGAUCGUAUUUUGACCAUAGAUAUGUUCUAAACAAACUAGAUUAUAGCAAUGAAAGAAAAACUGAAUCUAGAACAGAUAUGGAAUCCGAGAUCAGACUCUUAAGUGAGAGAAAAGCUUCUCUUUUAAGACAUUUCUAAUUACUUUAAAAAAAAAAAAACCUUGUCUUAACUAAUACUUAUUAAAAUAUGUGAAAAAUGUUAGAUAUAUGAACUUUAUGAGAAAAGAUUUUACAGUCUACAUCACCUUUUCAAAGGUUAAUAGUAAUGAUUAACUAUUACUGUUGCUAUUAAUGCUUUGAAAAUUAUGUUGGAAGGUGGAAAUCCUCUCCUGUACAGAUCAUUUAAAUCUAUAAAAUUCUCUCUGGAUCAGGAAAAAACAAAAAUAACAUGAUGACAAAAAACACCAGCAACUAAAACUUCUUGAAAUGGUAACCUUUUCUUCUCUAUUUUACUGUAGCAAUGUAUAAAUCAGCUUUGGUUUUCAUGUUAGCAAAUAAAAAAUCAACAGACCAUCUCCUUCUGGACACAGAUGCCUGCUUAAUGAAUUUGGAACUGGCAUUGCCACAGGUGCACAGAGUCUAGGAAUGCUUAAUUGCUUGUUCUUGCAAAACCCUGGCACACUCUAGCCAAUAUGUUUUACUUGCAUAUGUCACUGAGAGAAUUUUGCUUAUUCAAGCAAGGUCCAUAUCUCCUCCACCUGUGUGUGUCAACAUGUUAUGACAAUAAGGUUGUUUUGGGCAUUGAAAGCAGUAAAAGAGUUUGUCAGUUAUUAUAAGAAAAUGACAAGACCACAGUACAAUAUUGACUGACUACCUCCAGGGGCUCAGCUUUUUACCAUUUAUUCUGUUUCUCAUCCUCCUAAAAUCUCAUAUCUGAGAUGUCUGUAAGAGCUAUUGUUAAAUUUAGUUCUAGGAUAUUGCUUCUUGAACAAUGUUGACCAAUAAAUAUCAUGUUGUUUUUAUGAGUCUAUUUUCCAGAUAAUUCUGUGUAUUGCAUUAGUAGUCUAUUUUGGUAUCAUAAUGGAAAUAAUUACUUAUAAACUUAAAUAAGCAGUAGAACAGCUUAACAUAUACUAUUUCCACAUUUUCAAGUGAAACUAUAAACAUAAUUUACUAAACUCUAGCCUAAGUUUAGUAACUCUGAUAAAUUCAAGAAGUGAAAUUGAGAAAUAAAAAGAAAAUUGUCUACCUUCUCAAAAAGAAUGCUUUGCUGUUUACUAAUUCAUAAUGAUUUUAACAGAUAAUAAUACUGGCAUUCUGUGAUAACAAAGUUAAAUAUAUUAUGUUAUUAUAUUCAGGUUCAUAAAGAUUAGCAUAUGUAUCUAAAUGCAGUAUGUGAUAUACCUUAUAUGAGGUAAUAUAUAUAAUAAUAAAUAAUAUUUAUUAAGUGAAAUGUGGGCUCAAUAACACAUACAACUAAUCUGUUUAAAUUACUUUACCCUGUUAAAAUCACAUUGAAUACUCUUCAUAUUCAGUGAAGGCUAUAUCUCUUUUUAACAUACCUUUCUCUAUUUGCUCUUUAAUAUUUAUUUUUAAAACCUGGAAUAAUUAUAGUACACUAUAUUUAAGAACAUGUGUUUCCUGAUUUACAUUAAACUGUUUAGCUAUUUUGGGUUGCUUUUUCUCAUCUGUGAUUUCAAAUUCAGAUCUUAACAAUGAAGUAGGUUUUUUUCCAUAGGCUUUAAGAAAUAUUCUAAAUUUAAACUACCAAAAUCUGAAAUACUCAAUAAGAAAUAUUCCUAAUUUUUCUUUUUCUAGUGCAAAAUCAAUUUUAUUAUAAGAUUUUAGGAGAAUUCUUUGAGAUAAUUCAUUCAAAAACAGUUAACAGAAGUCUAAUACACUUCAAUAAUAAAGUACUUUCCCUCAUGUAUUUUAAAAUCCCAUUGGGAAAUGAGAGAAAUAAGAUUUCAACUAGAAAUCUGAGAAGACUGUUAUGGACUCUAAUCAAUUUCAUUUGUGACAGGUGCAUUUUGAGGAAACACCAACUGUGCUAUAUGUGGGUUGCUAUUGAAGCUCCCCCAUCAAAGCGUUAAAAGCAAUGAGGAGGAAGAUAUUCAUACAGUAUGAUAAAAACUAUACAAAACAAAAUGAGAAAAAAUUCUUUAGAAGAAAAAGAAGUAGGAAAAUAAGAGACAAAUUCAUCAGUUUACUUCAAACAAAGUGUUAAGAAAUGGCAAAGGUCAAAUGUAUAUUAAAAAUAUUAAGAUUAUAGAUCCAGACAUGUUAAAUAAUUCUGGAACCCUGAAAGUGAAAUACUUACAUAUACAUACUGGAAAAAGCAACAAAAAUAGAGAAAACCAUCUAUCAAUAUUUGUUUCUUUUCUGCUUUUAUAGAAAAAAAGAUUAAGGCAAAACAAAAUGAAUAAAUAUUAUAUCUAUUUAUAGCAGGAAAUAGAACAUCAAUGGCGUCAUGAGGUAAGAUUAGGAAGUCCACUUUACAAAAACUGAGAGUUAAUGUCCAAGAAGAGAUUUGUAUGCUUAUAUCUUUAAAUAGAAUAAAGUAGGAAAGACAACAAAAUACUACGCUUUAAAUCAGGAUUAAAGAACAUCAGAAUAAAUUUAUUUGUGGAUAGUUUUGAAAAACCAAAUUUAUAUGGAAUUUAUAUGGCAAGAUUGAAAAUUUUUUUUCUUUUCUCAAAUGAAUAAAAAGUAAUUUACCUGUCACAAUUUAGCUAAAACUUUCUUAAAACAGCUCAAGAAAAGUAGAAGAUAAUUUGGUAUAAAAACUGAAACAUUACUUCCAAAUGGAUUAGAUCAUAGAGAAAUAAGAUAAUUCAUUUAUGACAGAUAAAAUGUUAGUUGGUAACCAAGACAGCCUCAGAUAAACCACAGAUAGAGCAUAAUUAAAUGAACUGCUAUACAGUGUUUUAGUUCUGAAGGCUAGGGGCAUAUCCAUGCUUCUUCCAAAAUAGAGAAUGUUGUAUUUUAAAAAUUGACACGUAAGAAGGAAAGAACAUAUUAAAUGAGUUAUUUGCUCAGAUAUUGUAAGCAGUAAAAUUAUUUUUUAAAAAAUGAGAGGAUUGGGGAAAAUGGGGGAGAGAGAGAGUUCACCCAAAUGUUUCUUUUUUAGUGUUAUCAGCACUCUUGGGAAUUUCUUUAGCCCAGAGAAAUAUUUAUGCUUACAUAAAACCGCACAGUGGUGUCCCCAGUGGGUUAAGAAUGUAACUGCAGUGGCUCAGUUGGCUGUGGAGGUAUAGGUUUGAUCCUCAGCCUGGUGAAGUGGGUUUAAAGGAUCCUGUCUUACCACAGCUGUGGAGUAGAUCACAGCCGUGGUUUGCCUGGUCCCAGGAACUUCUAUAUGUCUAGGGGUAACAAACAAACAAACAAACAAACAAAACAAAACAAAACAAAAAAACAGAAAACAACAAAAAAACCUGCACAUAAGUAUAGCAACUCUAUUAUUAGCCAAAACUGAUGACAACCCAAUAUCCUUCUGUGAGUAAAUGGUUAAAAACAUACAUGUAGUACAUAUAUACCAUGGGAUACUACUCAGCAAUGGGAAGAAAAAAAAAACAAUUAAUUUACUAAAUAAUUCAGAUGAAUCUCUAGAGUAUUAUGCCAUGUGGAAAAAUGUCAAUCAUGUAUGAUCCCAUUCAUACAUUUUUGAAAUGAAAAAUUUAUUACAAUGGAGGAGAUUGGUAAUUGUCAUUGGUUAAAGAGGUUGAGGGGUGGGGAAUGUGUGGCUAUAGAAGGGCAACAGGAGGGAUUCUUGCUGUAGUGGAAAUGUUUUGUAUUUUAACCAUCAGUGUCAAUAUUCUAGAUACGAUACAUAGCAUGAAAGUUUUGCAAGAUGUUACCAUUGGUGGAAACCAAGUAAAGGGUACUAUAUUGUUUCUUACAACUACUGGUGAAUCUACAAUCACCACAUUCACAACAAAAAGGGUAUGAGGAACAAAAGAUUUGAAGACAUCUCUUAUAGUGCCUAUAAGAGAAGAAGGAAGAGGGAGGAUGUUUCAGAAGGAUUUUGAAAUACAUAAGAAACUACCAUAAUAUUAAAAAGAUUCUUAAGCAAUGCUCGAAGCCAAGAUUAAAUGUUUUUGGAUUUUUAUGUAUUUAUUUUAAUACUCUGAAGUAAAGAACUGAGUUCAACAAAUGCAUAGACUUAUGAUGUACUAUUGUUAAUGUCUAACAUUUUUCUUUUCAAAAUGUGUUUAAUUUUUUCUUCUAGUCCCAAUCCUUAAUCAUCAGCAGCACCAUAUCUUCUUACUUUCUCUCUCUUUUUUAAUGGCUGCACCAUAGCAUAUGAUAGUUCUGUGGCCAGGGACUGAAUCUAAGCCACAGUUGUGUCCCAUACACAUUGUGGCGAUGCCAGAUCCUUUAACCCAGUGCACCAGGAUAGGGAUCAAACCCACACCUCUGCAGUGACCCAAACUGCUACAGUCAGAUUCUAAACCCACUGAGCCAUGGCAGCAACUCCAACACCAUAUCUUUUUUGUUUAAUGUCUUUUCUUUGAAUACACUGCUGAUCUGAUUAUUUAACUCAGCAUGCAUGCAUAAACAUACAUACACCCCCAACACUUAUUUAUAUAUACAUAUAUAUGUAAAAAAAUAUUGAUCUAUAUACUUAAACAUUUUACAAUAACUGUUAUAAAUUUAUCUCCUGCUUAUUUUUCAUUCAGAAUUGUAUUUUCAAUAUCUACUUUUAUUUUUAUUUGAAAGAAUGUUCCUUUCUUCUGUUUACUAUAUAACAUCUUGUCAAAAGUAUACAUACAAACAACUUCACCAUAAUCUGCAAAAAGCAGGUGGGUUACUGCCAAUUCUUUGCUUAUAAAAAUGAUAUAGCAAGGCGUUUCCAUUGUGGCUCAGCGGGUUAUGAACCCAACUAGUAUCCAUGAGGCUGGUGGUUAUGGCUCCAAUUCAACCCCUAGCCUGGGAACUUCCAUAUGCCGAGGGUGCGGCCCUAAAAAGCAAAAAAAAAGUUAGGACCACAUUAAUGAAAGCUAAAAUGCCACUAAAACUAUAUGUAUGUAUAAAACUUUAAAUAAUAUGAUUUCAAAAGUAUCUUAAAUACAUCUGUUGAGAUUAACUGAACUACCUUUAUUUUUAAGUUCACCUGACAUAUUUUGCACUUUUUAAUUAAAUGUGCUUAAGAUACUGGAAGCUAAAGAUUUUAGUUAAAAAUAUGAAAGCUGCUUUCUCUUUUUAUCACAGAAAACUGUCAAAUUAAAGUUAUACGUUUACUA